UACGUAGGGGGCAAGCGUUGUCCGGAAUCAUUGGGCGUAAAGAGCGUGUAGGCGGCCAGAUAAGUCCGCUGUGAAAACUCGAGGCUCAACUUCGAGCUGUCGGUGGAAACUAUUUGGCUAGAGUCCGGAAGAGGAGAGUGGAAUUCCAGGUGUAGCGGUGAAAUGCGUAGAGAUCCGGAGGAAUACCAGAGGCGAAGGCGGCACCCUGGGUCUGACCUGACGCUGAUCCGCGACAGCAUGGGGAGCGAACGGG
rnacentral:rRNA from 1 species